rnacentral:tRNA from 1 species
GGGCCUGUAGCUCAGUCGGUUAGAGCAACGGACUCAUAAUCCGUUGGUCGGGGGUUCAAGUCCCUCCGGGCCCA